UGCGGAGGGUGCAAGCGUUAUCCGGAUUCACUGGGUUUAAAGGGUGCGUAGGUGGAAUAGUAAGUCAGUGGUGAAAUCUCCGGGCUUAACCCGGAAACUGCCAUUGAUACUAUUAGUCUUGAAUACCGUGGAGGUCAGCGGAAUAUGUCAUGUAGCGGUGAAAUGCUUAGAUAUGACAUAGAACACCAGUUGCGAAGGCAGCUGGCUACACGAGCAUUGACACUCAGGCACGAAAGCGUGGGGAUCAAACAGG
rnacentral:rRNA from 1 species